AACGUAGGUACCGAGCGUUAUCCGGAUUUACUGGGCGUAAAGCGUGUUCAGGCGGUCUGGCAAGUCGGGCAUGAAAUCUCUCGGCUCAACCGGGAGGGGUUGUCCGAUACUGCUGGGCUUGAGGGCAGCAGAGGGUGGUGGAAUUCCGGGUGUAGUGGUGAAAUGCGUAGAUAUCCGGAGGAACACCAGUGGCGAAGGCGGCCACCUGGGCUGUACCUGACGCUCAAACACGAAAGCUAGGGGAGCGAACGGGAUUAGAAACCCCCGUAGUCC
rnacentral:rRNA from 1 species